UCGAGGCGUGCGCACGGCCGCGGUGCGGCGCCGUUGCCACUGGGGUGGGUGGGGUCAACGCGGGGCGGCCCGGCCGUUCCUGUCGGCCCGUGUCGAU
rnacentral:tRNA from 1 species